AACGAACGCUGGCGGCGGGCUUAACGCAUGCAAGUCGAACGGUUGUAGCAAUACAGCAGUGGCAGACGGGUGAGUAACACGUGGGAACCUUCCUAGGGGUACGGAACAACUCAGGGAAACUUGAGCUAAUACCGUAUACGUCCGUGAGGAGAAAGAUUUAUCGCCCUUAGACGGGCCCGCGUCGGAUUAGCUAGUUGGUGGGGUAACGGCCUACCAAGGCGACGAUCCGUAGCUGAUCUUAGAGGAUGAUCAGCCACACUGGGACUGAGACACGGCCCAGACUCCUACGGGAGGCAGCAGUGGGGAAUCUUGGACAAUGGGCGCAAGCCUGAUCCAGCCAUGCCGCGUGAGUGAAGAAGGUCUUCGGAUUGUAAAGCUCUUUUGCCAGGGACGAUAAUGACGGUACCUGGAGAAUAAGCCCCGGCAAACUUCGUGCCAGCAGCCGCCGUAACAC
rnacentral:rRNA from 1 species